AUUGAACGCUGGCGGCAGGCCUAACACAUGCAAGUCGAGCGGAUGAAGGGAGCUUGCUCCUGGAUUCAGCGGCGGACGGGUGAGUAAUGCCUAGGAACCUGCCUGGUAGUGGGGGAUAACGUCCGGAAACGGGCGCUAAUACCGCAUACGUCCUGAGGGAGAAAGUGGGGGAUCCUCGGACCUCACGCUAUCAGAUGAGCCUAGGUCGGAUUAGCUAGUUGGUGGGGUAAAGGCCUACCAAGGCGACGAUCCGUAACUGGUCUGAGAGGAUGAUCAGUCACACUGGAACUGAGACACGGUCCAGACUCCUACGGGAGGCAGCAGUGGGGAAUAUUGGACAAUGGGCGAAAGCCUGAUCCAGCCAUGCCGCGUGUGUGAAGAAGGUCUUCGGAUUGUAAAGCACUUUAAGUUGGGAGGAAGGGCAGUAAGUUAAUACCUUGCUGUUUUGACGUUACCAACAGAAUAAGCACCGGCUAACUUCGUG
rnacentral:rRNA from 1 species